rnacentral:rRNA from 1 species
UACGUAGGGGGCAAGCGUUGUCCGGAUUUAUUGGGCGUAAAGAGCUCGUAGGCGGUUCGACAAGUCGGGUGUGAAAACUCCGGGCUCAACCCGGAGACGCCACCCGAUACUGUCGUGACUGGAGUCCGGUAGGGGAGUGGGGAAUUCCUGGUGUAGCGGUGAAAUGCGCAGAUAUCUGGAGGAACACCGGUGGCGAAGGCGGCAUCCUGGACCAACACUGACACUGAGGAGCGAAAGCCAGGGGAGCAAACGGG